rnacentral:tRNA from 1 species
GGGUCGCUGGCAGAGCGGUGAUGCAGCCGCCUUUUAAGCGGAAGGAUCCAGGUUCAACUCCUGGGCGACCCCCCA